GGAGGCAGCUGCGCAGGAGAGGCCGCCCUUCUGGAGUGGGGUCUCCUAGACCACACAGUCAAGUACACAACCUUGGCCCCGCCCCUGCAAGCCCCCGCCCAUUCCCUGGCCACACCCACACGGUGCCCAGCCUUGGUCUCCAGUGAUGAGCUGGGAAGUCUCUUCUCUAGCACUGGGUUCGUGGCAGUGGUGGGUGGCGAGCAGGCUGGGGAAGGGUCUUUGGAGAAGAGGCUCUGGAGUUGAGCUCACCUCUCUCUCCGGCUCCCGCUCCCAGCCCCUCUGGGCCGGGAGAACGAUGAAGAUGGAGAACUAGGACAGAACUGUCCCUGGAACAGAGGCAACGACUGGCCAAAGGUCACCAGAGACACUUCCCCAGCCCAAUGUCACAGUCAACAACUCAGCCCCAGGAGCAUGUGGAAUCCAUCAGCCUGCACAGCUUGAACCCAAAGAGCUCUGUGGCCAUCCAGUGGUACAUCCGGGGCCAGAAGCUCUUCACUGGGGGCCACAGGGAGCUGUCCUCUGACCACAGGAUACUGUAUGGAACAUCACCAGGAAUGACUCGGGCUUCUACCAGUGUGAGAGCUGCAACUCAGCUACCAGCAGCAUCAGCAACCCUAUUCUCAUCAAAGUCAUUUUUUCUCCAGGCCAGAGAUGCUCCAUCCCACUGUGAGACAUGUUACCGACUUCUCGGGAGCAGAUGAUCCAUCUGAGCACUUGGGAAAGGCCUGCAAACCCUAUGUGCAGGACAUGAAACCCUAGCUCUGGCAGCAAUGUACGCCUCCACUGGGUGGGAGACUAGGUCACGGAUCUCUUUUCGGCACCCAA
rnacentral:lncRNA from 1 species